rnacentral:rRNA from 1 species
AUUGAACGCUGGCGGCAUGCCUUACACAUGCAAGUCGAACGGCAGCACGGACUUCGGUCUGGUGGCGAGUGGCGAACGGGUGAGUAACGUAUCGGAACGUACCCUUCGGUGGGGGAUAACUAUACGAAAGGAUAGAUAAUACCGCAUAUUCUCUGAGGAGGAAAGCGGGGGAUCGCAAGACCUCGCGCUGAUGGAGCGGCCGAUAUCAGAUUAGCUAGUUGGUGGGGUAAAGGCCUACCAAGGCGGCGAUCUGUAGCGGGUCUGAGAGGAUGAUCCGCCACGCUGGGACGGAGACACGGCCCAGACUCCUACGGGAGGCAGCAGUGGGGAAUUUUGGACAAUGGGGGCAACCCUGAUCCAGCCAUGCCGCGUGAGUGAAGAAGGCCUUCGGGUUGUAAAGCUCUUUCGGCCGGGAAGAAAUCGCGUGAGUUAAUACCUUGCGUGGAUGACGGUACCGGAAUAAGAAGCACCGGCUAACUACGUGCCAGCAGCCGCCGUAAAAC